rnacentral:rRNA from 1 species
GAUGAACGCUAGCGGCAGGCCUAAUACAUGCAAGUCGAACGGUGUCUUCGGACAUAGUGGCGCACGGGUGCGUAACACGUAUGCAACCUACCUUACAUUGGGGGAUAGCCUUUCGAAAGGGAGAUUAAUACCGCAUAAGACAGUAGCUGGGCAUCCAGCAGCUGUUAAAGAUUUAUCGAUGUAAGCUGGGCAUGCGUCCAAUUAGCUAGUUGGUGAGGUAACGGCUCACCAAGGCAAUGAUUGGUAGGGGAACUGAGAGGUCAAUCCCCCACACUAGCACUGAGAUACGGGCCAGACUCCUAUGGGAGGCAGCAGUAGGGAAUAUUGGGCAAUGGACGCAAGUCUGACCCAGCCAUGCCGCGUGCAGGAUGAAGGCGUUAUGCGUUGUAAACUGCUUUUAUACAGGAAGAAACGACUCUUGCGAGGUUUGGUGACGGUACUAUAAGAAUAAGCACCGGCUAACUCCGUGCCAGCCGCCGCGGUAAGAC